rnacentral:lncRNA from 1 species
UAAUGAGCAUAUUCAUUGCAGAUAAAGACAAAGAGACAUUUUCUGAAACCAAGGAAAACACUUGGCCUCUCUGCUUUGGUUGGAAUCUUCUUGAUGAAGACUGUAUAUGGGAACAUAUAGCAAAAUUGCCCAUAAUGAUGCUUGUUUGUGUCAAGUUGACAAAAGUAAAUCAACACAACCAAUACUAUAGAUGAAUUCAUGCAGAUCUAGAGAAUGCACAUACUAAGAAUAGCAGGUUCUGAGAAGACAACAACAUGUGACUUGCAUGUACUGGGAAGACAACAGCCUUUGCUCUGCUCACCCUUGAUCAAGCAGGAGGGUGCCAACUGAUGUCUAUGGUGGUUGAAUGUGAUAAUGGUUCCUGUGAAAUGUGAACAAAUGUUAGGCAUUUAAGAAGCUGUUUGACAUAUACAUGCCCAUCAUUAAAGGAAAUCAGAACAGGAACUCAAGCAGUUCUGGAACCUGGAGACUGGAGCUGAUGCAGAGGACAUGGAGGGACACUAAUUGGCUUGUGUCGUGUGGUUUCAUCAGCCUGCUGUCCUAUGGACUUCAGGACCACCAGCCCAAGCAUGGCAGAGCCACAACAUUAAUUCAGCUAUUUCUCUUUAAUCCCAUUAAUACUUCUAUUACUGGAAAUACAGGUAAGUACAUUUUCACAGUAUAAAUAUUUGCACAAGUAAUUCUAGACAGUAAAAUACAUACUGUAGGAAGGAUGAAGAAUAAAGCAAGCCUGCUGCCAAUAUAUUUUCAAGUUUAGAUUGUAUUUUGUGCUUUAUCCUUAAUUUGUGCUGGAGAAUAAUGUGAAUAAUGAAUAAACCAAGUUGGAAACAGUAAUUUAGAUAAGAAAAAUCUAUUAUGUAAUAAUAUGGAAAUGUCAUAAAAAACAUCUACAAUCAAUCUCUGAUGCAGUACAAUUGAAAAGUCCUAAUUAUUAUUUUACU